rnacentral:rRNA from 1 species
GAAUUCGUGGUGUAGCGGUGAAAUGCUUAGAUAUCACGAAGAACUCCGAUUGCGAAGGCAGCUCACUGGACUGCAACUGACACUGAUGCUCGAAAGUGUGGGUAUCAAACAGGAUUAGAUACCCUGGUAGUCCACACAGUAAACGAUGAAUACUCGCUGUUUGCGAUAUACAGUAAGCGGCCAAGCGAAAGCAUUAAGUAUUCCACCUGGGGAGUACGCCGGCAACGGUGAAACUCAAAGGAAUUGACGGGGGCCCGCACAAGCGGAGGAACAUGUGGUUUAAUUCGAUGAUACGCGAGGAACCUUACCCGGGCUUAAAUUGCAGUGGAAUGAUGUGGAAACAUGUCAGUGAGCAAUCACCACUGUGAAGGUGCUGCAUGGUUGUCGUCAGCUCGUGCCGUGAGGUGUCGGCUUAAGUGCCAUAACGAGCGCAACCCUUAUCUUUAGUUACUAACAGGUUAUGCUGAGGACUCUAGAGAGACUGCCGUCGUAAGAUGUGAGGAAGGUGGGGAUGACGUCAAAUCAGCACGGCCCUUACGUCCGGGGCUACACACGUGUUACAAUGGGGGGUACAGAAGGCAGCUAGCGGGUGACCGUAUGCUAAUCCCAAAAGCCUCUCUCAGUUCGGAUCGAAGUCUGCAACCCGACUUCGUGAAGCUGGAUUCGCUAGUAAUCGCGCAUCAGCCACGGCGCGGUGAAUACGUUCCCGGGCCUUGUACACACCGCCCGUCAAGCCAUGGGAGCCGGGGGUACCUGAAGUACGUAACCGCAAGGAUCGUCCUAGGGUAAAACUGGUG